rnacentral:rRNA from 1 species
AUGAACGCUAGCGGCAGGCUUAACACAUGCAAGUCGAGGGGUAAGGUAGCAAUAUCUGAGACCGGCGCACGGGUGCGUAACGCGUAUGCAAUCUACCUUUCACAGAGGGAUAGCCCAGAGAAAUUUGGAUUAAUACCUCAUAGUAUAAUGAUUUGGCAUCAAGACAUUAUUAAAGUCACAACGGUGAAAGAUGAGCAUGCGUCCCAUUAGCUAGUUGGUAUGGUAACGGCAUACCAAGGCGACGAUGGGUAGGGGUCCUGAGAGGGAGAUCCCCCACACUGGUACUGAGACACGGACCAGACUCCUACGGGAGGCAGCAGUGAGGAAUAUUGGACAAUGGGCGCAAGCCUGAUCCAGCCAUGCCGCGUGCAGGAUGACGGUCCUAUGGAUUGUAAACUGCUUUUGCACAGGAAGAAACAACGCUACGUGUAGCGUCUUGACGGUACUGUGAGAAUAAGGAUCGGCUAACUCCGUG